UCGGUCAGUACGGCCGGCUCGCGAGGCUUCGAACGUCACCACAUACUAAUCAACACAAGCCUCCAUACGCGCUUUACAAAAAUCAUCCCGCAUCACUGAACACGCGCUUCGAAGCCUCGAGGCACAUCACUAGUGUUUCUUGUGGAGGCAGCGACCAGCGGCAGAAGAAAGAAAAGUCUCAUUUAAUGAAUAUACAGAGACAGUCAGCAGCCCGGCUGGUUUAUAAGUUUGUUGUACUGUGUGUGAGAGCUGAUAGUCUGCAGAUAGCAACAGGUUAGCACCAUCGCUAACAGCAAGCUAACGUCGGAGGAACACCGGAGCCCCGGACAGCGCCGCUUGUGACCGGCUGUUAGCGUCAUGUCUUCAUCUUCAUCUUUCUAAGACGAUUGCACAACGUGACAACAGCGGGAGGCACCUGGACGAUGCUGUCAAACUGGGCUGCGCCAACAGGCGCUCCACUGAGCAGCACACCAAACACUGCGGGGCCAAGACGAGUUGGCGGGCUGUCUGAGAAACUUCAGUCAGCCAGAAGUUUGGCCAGAGGAAACACCGCCGAGCCGCCUUGCUCCUCGCGUGGGGCCUCAGCUCUGUGUGCCACCCCAGGAUUUUCAGCCACCCCAGGAAAAAUUUCUGGGGGCGACCCUGAGCAAAAGCCCAGGUGUAGUGUCAUCUCAAAGUGGAGGAGCAAGGAUGAGAUUAGAGUUUCCAUCAGCAGUGCCACCACCUGGAGCCAUCUCCCCCAGAGGAGGCCACCGACCCCGGGGUCACACCAUCUCAGUGUCAGCCGCCUCCUCCAGGAGGGAGAGGGACCACAGUCGACCCAGACCCAGUAACACGGAGAAGAUUGCUGGACUGAGUCCCAGCAACAUGGAGAACAUCGCCAUUCCUCUGCCAUCCAGCGGAAAGAGACUCCUGCAAAGUGGAGACAAGAGCGACAGUGAUUAAGAAGCUCGUCGCUCGUUCGUCUCUUUCUCCCUCCAAGCCAGUGGGUUUAUUUCAGGUUUUUCUCUCGGUCUACUACUUUUUGUCUCCUCUAGCUUUGUCUUCCUCCAGCUGUACCACUCUCCUUUCUUUGGGGAUAAAGCCAAAAAGCCGCGGCUGCUGCCCAAAACUGAGGUUAGAUGACCUCUCUGACUGACCUGGAAUCUGCUCCAGUGCGUCGUAUAAAGUGUUGUUCACUGCGUUUAAUCGCUGUGGCAGGUGAGUGACCAGAUGCCUCCUUGUGACACCCAUAAGAUCGGAGUGGUGUUUGCAGGAGCCGGUCAGGUGAGAAUAUGAUUGAAUAUUACGGUCAGCUCAUUCAUACACUCUCUGACUUUAUACCUUCAUCCUCUCCACUUCCUCCAGGUUAACAAUAAGGUUGCCAUUUUAUCAAAUGAGUAUGGUUCGAACCGCUACUCUGCCUUCCUAACAGGCCUGGGAAAAUUAAUCCGGGGGGGGGUGAUUGAGUGAUGGAGGUGGGAGAGAGGACUAAUCUUGAAAACUUUUACAGAGAAGCUUCUCUCACCAGAGCAGAUCUGCUCCUCGGUCCAGCAGUGGCACUAAAAUGCUACUAUUGUUGCCAUUAUUUGUCUAAAGCACUGAGUCACCGACACAGAUUCCUCGUGUAAGUCUAACCUUGUAGGUUUUCUCUAAUGUGUCUUUGAGAAGCUGGAAAGAAAGGAACCAGCCAAUGAAAAAGCCUGGCAACAAAGAGUCAAGAUAGUGAGGAAGCAGCUCCGUGUGGUGAGGCUGCCAGGGAAAUUACUGCAGCUGGUGGAUCCUCACCACCACCCCCACAGCCUCAUGUUGCCGGGUGACCACCUACUGCUGGCUGUCCCUCACAGGACAGUGGAGACGGCAGAGAGUUUAUUAUACUACUAGCACCCUGAUGGGUUUUCCCUUUUAGCUUUAAGAUAUUUGAAGGAAAAAGAAGAACCCCACCCCUACCCCUAACUUUUUUCCCCACACAGAGACAGUGGCUGUUCCCUGCCCACCUCCGAGUAGUCCUCAGUAGACACCAAUGCGCAUGAGCCUUUUCAGCAGGUGCAACCAAGUUUUCUUUUGACAUGACAGGAAGCUUCCUCCGGUUAACAAAGCCGUGCUCGUCCUGUCUGAACCACGGAACAAAGUCGACCUGAUGGCCGAUGAUCAGUCCAGUUUACCCUUGCCCUAACUUUUCCCCCAACACAGAGGCAGUGGCUGUUCCCUGCCCACCUCCGAGAAGAGAAGGAGAGAGGGAGUGAGUGUCUGUCUGGCUCUGAUGUCAGUGUUUGUAGGUUGAAUUGACUGAAGGUCAUGUUCAUGUGUUUGCAUGACUGCCUUUGUGUUUGUUUGUAAAAUCUACAUUCAAGUACACAGUAAGAAUCAAAUGUUGAUCAGAGAUUGAGUUUUUGUGUGCAUGUAUCCACCUAUAACCCACUUGGUUGUUGCUGUGUCCUGCUGUAGACUCUGGUGGUGGUGCUGGAGAGGAGGUCAGGGGUCACCACAGCACACACCCCGUCUGAUUGGCCAGAGAGUGAAGAGUCUGAGCCAAUGACCUCAGAUCCCAUCUUCAUUCAAAGACCCCGCCGCCUGGAAUGCUCAGCAGGUCUUCUACUUUUUUGUCUUCCAGUCGUACUGCACCUCCAGUCAGGAUGAUGAAAAGUCGACGCUGGAGGAGGUGAGCGAGGGAGUGAUUCCCAUUGACCAGCCCGCUCUGGGACCCUCCACACCAGGUAGCCAGGGGCUCGAGCUUCCCUUCCAGACCCACACUCAGUCCCAGGGUCACGGACUUAACAAGUCCAGUUCCUCUCCGGAGCUCCAAACCUUACCUGAAGCUUUUUCUAAGGCCGGUAUAGAGUCCCAGACUGCCAGGAGACGCAUCGAGGCCCAAAACACCUUCAGACAGCAAGCCUCAGCAGCAGCAGCCUCGUUUUGAGAAAGGGAAGGUGGAGGGAAGCACACAGGGGACUUUAACGGACUGGCAGGUCAGAGUCAAGAUGGUGAAAGCCCAGGUGUAGUGUCAUCUCAAAGUGGAGAAGCAAGGAUGAGAUUAGAGUUUCCAUCAGCAGUGCAGCCACCUGGAGCCAUCUCCCCAGCGGAGGCCACCGACCCCGGGGUCACACCAUCUCAGUGUCAGCACCUUCAUCCAACAUGGAGAAGAUUGCUGGACUGAGCCCCAGCAACAUGGAGAAGAUAGCCGUUCCUCUGCAAUCCAGCGGAAAGAGGCUCAUGCAAAGAGCGACAGUGAUUAAGAAGCUCGUCGCUUUGAGCUUUCGUGAGAAAACAAACGUCGUCUGUUUCUCCCUCCAAGCCAGUCCGUCUGUCUGCAGCACAGAUAAGCUCCCUGGACAGGGUGCUGAUAAGAGAGCUGUCCACCCUUACAAAGCAGACCGGGACCCACCAGCAGGGAGAGGUGCAAUCUGAAGAUGGGAAAAGGCAAAAAACAACAACCCUGGAAAAAAGAAGCCGCUGAAGAGUCAGAGGACAGCACCUCCAGUACGGCUGAGACCUCAGAGCCACCACCAGCUCGUGUUCCUGGGUCCACUAGCUACUCAAUGGACACUGCAGAGUGAUUUUUUUAAAUUUUGUUUAUGGAAUAUCUUUUUGGUUUUAUGUGUAUGUUUUCUUGUUUCAUGUUAAAAUGUUUUUAUAUUCCUUUCAUUGUGGUGUGACUAAUCAAAUAUGUUGAACAUGUUUGUGUUCAAUUUAAUAAAUGUUCAAUACUUUGAAUUUAA